rnacentral:rRNA from 1 species
UACGUAGGGUGCAAGCGUUGUCCCGGAAUUUAUUGGGCGUAAAGAGCUCGUAGGCGGUCUGUCGCGUCGGCUGUGAAAUCCCGAGGCUCAACCUCGGGUCUGCAGUCGAUACGGGCAAACUUGAGUGUUGCAGGGGAGACUGGAAUUCCUGGUGUAGCGGUGAAAUGCGCAGAUAUCAGGAGGAACACCGGUGGCGAAGGCGGGGUCUCUGGGCAGUAACUGACGCUGAGGAGCGAAAGCAUGGGGAGCGAACAGG